UGAGCGACCUACCUAAUUGUGGGGGAUAGCCGGCCCAACGGCCGGGUAAUACCGCAUACGAUCGGAGAGGGGCAUCCCUUUCUGAGGAAAGCCUUCGGGCGCAAUUUGAGGGGCUCGCGGCCUAUCAGCUUGUUGGUGAGGUAACGGCUCACCAAGGCUUCGACGGGUAGCCGGCCUGAGAGGGCGACCGGCCACACAGGGACUGAGACACGGCCCAGACUCCUACGGGAGGCAG
rnacentral:rRNA from 1 species